ensembl:lncRNA
GUCACUCUGUAUAGCAUGUAAUAUGUGUUGUAUUCUUUGGUUACUUUCAUAAAAAAAUAAUGUUUUUCUUUUUCUAAAAAUAAUAAAGGAAAAAAUUAAAACAUGGUUUAAAAUCAAAUAUUUAUUAAAUAAAAAUAUCUCAAAAUAAAAUCUAGUAAAUAAAUAAAUAAAACGUAUAUCGUGUCGUUUGUAAGCAUCCCACGCAUGUUAUACUUCUUUUGCUCUCUCUCUCUCUCUCUCUCACACACACACACACACACACACAAACAAACAUUGCUGAGAGGGAGAAACAGGUCGCGGCAUCAGCUCUCGCAAACUCUUUAAACUUUAAACGUUUAACCGGAGCGCGGAGGAGCGGAGCACUUGACGCCGCCUGGCCGGCGGCUUUUGUAAUUCUCUCUGAAGGACGGAUCUUCAGGUGUAGUCGAGCGUCGUGGGAUAGUUACAGAGGAAACAUCACGCUGCCGAGGAUCCCGGAGUCUAACAUGGCUCUGAGCGUGUUAGGUAUGUUUCUGGGAUUGCUUCUGGAAGUUUCCACACACGGACCCUCCAGCGUUCCCAGAAGCUCAUGGAGGCAUGACGGUGAGUGAAGGGUUAAAGUUUCUCUUGUCAGAAAUGAAACCUCUGCAGGUGCCACACAUCUGACUUCCUGUGCUUAUAAAACAUGCUUCUGAAUUGUGUGUAUAAAUAUAUAAUUUUUUUUAACAUUGUAUAUUAGAAUGAUUUCUGAAGGAUCAUGUGACACUGAAGACUGGAGUAAUGAUGCUUUGAUCACAGGAAUAAAUUUCAUUUCAACAGAUAUUCA